GACUUGUGUGCGCCGGAUGCGGCGAUCUGCGGCCAAAAGGUCGUUGCGAUCAGCCCGUCCUGGCGCCGUAAAAUUUGCAACUGAGUCGCCUCUGGUCUUAAUUGGUCGGUGGCGUCUGCUCGGUUGCUCGUUUACUGUGAGAAAAUUGGAGUGUUCAAGGCAGGCGUGGAUUGCAACUGAACAUGUUAGCAUGGAAUAAUAAGAUAGGACUUUGGUUCUAUUUUGUUGGUUUCUAGGACUGAAGUAAUGAUUGAUAGGGACAGUUGGGGGUGCUAGUAUUUAACGGCCAGAGGUGAAAUUCUUGGAUUCGUUAAAGACUAACUUAUGCGAAAGCAUU
rnacentral:rRNA from 1 species